rnacentral:rRNA from 1 species
UCCUACGGGAGGCAGCAGUGGGGAAUAUUGGACAAUGGGCGAAAGCCUGAUCCAGCCAUGCCGCGUGUGUGAAGAAGGUCUUCGGAUUGUAAAGCACUUUAAGUUGGGAGGAAGGGUUGUAGAUUAAUACUCUGCAAUUUUGACGUUACCGACAGAAUAAGCACCGGCUAACUCUGUGCCAGCAGCCGCGGUAAUACAGAGGGUGCAAGCGUUAAUCGGAAUUACUGGGCGUAAAGCGCGCGUAGGUGGUUUGUUAAGUUGGAUGUGAAAGCCCCGGGCUCAACCUGGGAACUGCAUUCAAAACUGACAAGCUAGAGUAUGGUAGAGGGUGGUGGAAUUUCCUGUGUAGCGGUGAAAUGCGUAGAUAUAGGAAGGAACACCAGUGGCGAAGGCGACCACCUGGACUGAUACUGACACUGAGGCGCGAAAGCGUGGGGAGCAAACAGGAUUAGAUACCCUGGUAGUCCACGCCGUAAACGAUGUCAACUAGCCGUUGGGAGCCUUGAGCUCUUAGUGGCGCAGCUAACGCAUUAAGUUGACCGCCUGGGGAGUACGGCCGCAAGGUUAAAACUCAAAGGAAUUGACGGGG